UGGGGAAUUUUGGACAAUGGGGGAAACCCUGAUCCAGCCAUCCCGCGUGUGCGAUGAAGGCCUCCGGGUUGUAAAGCACUUUUGGCAGGAAAGAAACGUCAUGGGUUAAUACCCCGUGAAACUGACGGUACCUGCAGAAUAAGCACCGGCUAACUACGUGCCAGCAGCCGCGGUAAUACGUAGGGUGCAAGCGUUAAUCGGAAUUACUGGGCGUAAAGCGUGCGCAGGCGGUUCGGAAAGUAAGAUGUGAAAUCCCAGAGCUCAACUUUGGAACUGCAUUUUUAACUACCGGGCGAGAAUGUGUGAGAGGGAGGUGGAAUACGGCGUGUAGCAGUGAAAUGCGUAGAUAUGCGGAGGAAAACCGAUGGCGAAGGCAGCCUCCUGGGAUAACACUGACGAUCAUGCACGAAAGCGUGGGGAGCAAACAGG
rnacentral:rRNA from 1 species